rnacentral:misc_RNA from 1 species
GAAAUGCGAUAAGUAAUGCGAAUUGCAGAUUUCAGUGAUUAAUCGAAUCUUUGAACACACAUUGCACCCGACGGCCAUUCCGCCGGGUCUGCCUGUCCGAGCGUCGUUUCACCCCUCGAGUCCACCAAGCACUCGGUGUUGGGGAUCUGCAGGGCCCCUCGAGGGCGCUGCAGGCCGUGAAAUACAGUGGCGGGCCCUGCUGGAACCCCCUGCGCAGUAACAAACCUCUCGCAUCGGGUGCCGGCGGAGCCUGGCCGUCAACCGGUCGGCGCCCUGGGUGCCGCCCAUUCAGAACGGUCGACCUCGGAUCAGGUAGGGUUACCCGCUGAACUUAA